GCGCUGUUGGUCUAGUGGCAUGACUCCAGCCUGCCACGCUGGGUACCCGGGUUCAAAUCCCGGACAGCGCACCA
rnacentral:tRNA from 1 species